rnacentral:rRNA from 1 species
ACUUAGAGUUUGAUCAUGGCUCAGGACGAACGCUGGCGGCGUGCUUAACACAUGCAAGUCGAGCGGAAAGGCCCUUCGGGGUACUCGAGCGGCGAACGGGUGAGUAACACGUGAGUAAUCUGCCCCUAGCUCUGGGAUAGCUCCGGGAAACCGGGAUUAAUACCGGAUACGACCACCUUAGACAUCUUUUGUGGUGGAAAGAAUUUCGGCUAGGGAUGAGCUCGCGGCCUAUCAGCUUGUUGGUGGGGUAACGGCCUACCAAGGCGACGACGGGUAGCCGGCCUGAGAGGGCGACCGGCCACACUGGGACUGAGACACGGCCCAGACUCCUACGGGAGGCAGCAGUGGGGAAUAUUGCGCAAUGGGCGCAAGCCUGAUCCAGCGACGCCGCGUGGGUGAUGAAGGCCUUCGGGUUGUAAAGCCCUUUUCCCGGGGACGAUGAUGACGGUACCCGGGGAAUAAGCACCGGCUAACUCCGUGCCAGCAGCCGCGGUACGCC